rnacentral:tRNA from 1 species
GCGGGGAUAGUUCAGUUGGGAGAACGUCAGACUGAAGUUAACUUCAUUCAUUAAUCUGAAGGCCGUGUGUUCGAUCCACACUCACCGCA